GGGCCCAGAGGAGGGCCACUCAGAUGACCAGAGGGCUGGAGCACCUCUCCUAUGAGGAAAAGUAGUAGGAACUGGGCUUGUUUAGUUUGGAGAAGAGGAGACUUUGGUCAGACCUACUUGUGGCCCCAUAGUACUUCAACGGAGUGUAUAAACAAGAGGGAGAACAAUUUUUCUGAAGGUGAACAGUGAUAAGACACGGGGGAAUGUUUUUAAACUGAGAAGGGAUGUGUAGGUUGGAUAUUAGGAGGAAGUUGUUGACACUCAGAGUGGUGACGCACUGAACAGGUUGCCCAAGGAGGCUGUGGAUGCCCCAUCCCUGGAGGCAUUCAGACCAGGCUGGAUGUGGCGCUGGGCAGCCCGGUCUGCUGGUUGGCGACCCUGCACAUAGCAGGGGGUUUGAACUGAUGAGCACUGUGGUCCUUUUCAAUCCUGGCCAUUCUGUGAUUCUGUGAUACUGAUUAACUGGGAUGAACCCGUCGUGCUUUCAGCAACCCCUGAUGAAGAUGAGGAUGAUCAGAAGAGUCUACUGAAGGAGCUGAUCAAGCUGACCCAAGGUGAUGAACCCUGCUCCUCACCUGGACCAUCAAAACUCUCAGCUAUUCAAGGCAAACGUCUGCCUGCCCAAGCAAAGGACGGUAGGAAAUCCAUGAAGAAGUGGCAGAAAAAACCCAAUCCUGGAUUAGGAUCGACCACCAAAAGUGGUGCUACAGAAACGCUGCACAGACAGCAGCACCGCACCAGCAGGGAUUCCUCGCUCCCAUUCAUCAGUUGAUCCGUCAGCCAGAGAGUCAGGGAGUGCUCGGCAAAACUCACUCAGCUUUAAGCAGCCCACCCAGCCCCCAAGAAUACAAUAUUUACCCUCUGCAUAUGCAGUAAGCACAGAAAAAUGCCAACCCAGUGUGGUUGAUUCUAUGGAGUGUUUAUCAUCUGGAGCCCAUUGCUUCUUGCCAUUUUGUACGGGGAGAGAAUCAAAGAGGAGAGAGGAGAACAGGUCAGAGGGGCACCUGUUUAAGGCUGCUCUGACUCAGUCUCGGGGGCAGCCACCCAAGGGUGACUCAGAAGGGAUCCACUGUUGAUUCCGUGGUAUUCACGGCACGGACUGAGCUGAUAUUUCACUGAAGGAAAUAUGUACCCCCAGUGGUCCAUUUCCUCUACACAGUCUUCCAGCCACUCUACCCCAACCCCAGCAUUGCCUGGGGUUAUUGUGGUCAAAGUGCAGGACCCGGUAUUUGGUCUUGUUGAACCUCAUCCCAUUGGCUUCAGCCCAGCUAUAUACAGCCUGUCCAAAUCCCUCUGUAUGGCCGCACUACCCUCAGGCAGAUGGACACCUCCAGCCAGCUUGGUGUCAUCUGCAAACUCACUGAGGGCGCACUCAAUGCCCUCAUCCAGGUCAUCAAUAAAGAUACUGAAGAGGAGAGGCCAAAGCACCAAACCCUGAGGAAUACCACUCGUGAACGCUCGCCAGCUCGAUUUAAUUCCAUUCACCACCACUCUCUGGGUGGUGAAUCAAACAGGAGAGAGGAGAACAGGUCAGUGGGGCACCUGUUUAAGGCUGCUCUGACUCAGUCUCGGGGGCAGCCACCCAAGGGUG
ensembl:lncRNA